rnacentral:rRNA from 2 species
ACAUUGAACGCUGGCGGCAUGCCUUACACAUGCAAGUCGAACGGCAGCGCGGGGCAACCUGGCGGCGAGUGGCGAACGGGUGAGUAAUAUAUCGGAACGUACCCUGGAGUGGGGGAUAACGUAGCGAAAGUUACGCUAAUACCGCAUACGAUCUAAGGAUGAAAGUGGGGGAUCGCAAGACCUCAUGCUCCUGGAGCGGCCGAUAUCUGAUUAGCUAGUUGGUGGGGUAAAGGCCUACCAAGGCAUCGAUCAGUAGCUGGUCUGAGAGGACGACCAGCCACACUGGAACUGAGACACGGUCCAGACUCCUACGGGAGGCAGCAGUGGGGAAUUUUGGACAAUGGGGGCAACCCUGAUCCAGCAAUGCCGCGUGAGUGAAGAAGGCCUUCGGGUUGUAAAGCUCUUUUGUCAGGGAAGAAACGGUCUGCUCUAAUACAGUGGGCUAAUGACGGUACCUGAAGAAUAAGCACCGGCUAACUACGUGCCAGCAGCCGCGGUAAUACGUAGGGUGCAAGCGUUAAUCGGAAUUACUGGGCGUAAAGCGUGCGCAGGCGGUUUUGUAAGACUGUCGUGAAAUCCCCGGGCUCAACCUGGGAAUGGCGAUGGUGACUGCAAGGCUAGAGUUUGGCAGAGGGGGGUAGAAUUCCACGUGUAGCAGUGAAAUGCGUAAGAUAUGUGGAGGAACACCGAUGGCGAAGGCAGCCCCCUGGGUCAAAACUGACGCUCAUGCACGAAAGCGUGGGGAGCAAACAGGAUUAGAUACCCUGGUAGUCCACGCCCUAAACGAUGUCUACUAGUUGUCGGGUCUUAAUUGACUUGGUAACGCAGCUAACGCGUGAAGUAGACCGCCUGGGGAGUACGGUCGCAAGAUUAAAACUCAAAGGAAUUGACGGGGACCCGCACAAGCGGUGGAUGAUGUGGAUUAAUUCGAUGCAACGCGAAAAACCUUACCUACCCUUGACAUGGAUGGAAUCCCUGAGAGAUUGGGGAGUGCCCGAAAGGGAACCAUUACACAGGUGCUGCAUGGCUGUCGUCAGCUCGUGUCGUGAGAUGUUGGGUUAAGUCCCGCAACGAGCGCAACCCUUGUCAUUAGUUGCUACGAAAGGGCACUCUAAUGAGACUGCCGGUGACAAACCGGAGGAAGGUGGGGAUGACGUCAAGUCCUCAUGGCCCUUAUGGGUAGGGCUUCACACGUCAUACAAUGGUACAUACAGAGGGCCGCCAACCCGCGAGGGGGAGCUAAUCCCAGAAAGUGUAUCGUAGUCCGGAUUGUAGUCUGCAACUCGACUGCAUGAAGUUGGAAUCGCUAGUAAUCGCGGAUCAGCAUGUCGCGGUGAAUACGUUCCCGGGUCUUGUACACACCGCCCGUCACACCAUGGGAGCGGGUUUUACCAGAAGUAGGUAGCUUAACCGCAAGGAGGGCGCUUACCACGGUAGGAUUCGUGACUGGGGUGCA